rnacentral:rRNA from 1 species
GAUGAACGCUGGCGGCGUGCCUAAUACAUGCAAGUCGAGCGAACAGACGAGGAGCUUGCUCCUCUGACGUUAGCGGCGGACGGGUGAGUAACACGUGGAUAACCUACCUAUAAGACUGGGAUAACUUCGGGAAACCGGAGCUAAUACCGGAUAAUAUAUUGAACCGCAUGGUUCAAUAGUGAAAGACGGUUUUGCUGUCACUUAUAGAUGGAUCCGCGCCGCAUUAGCUAGUUGGUAAGGUAACGGCUUACCAAGGCAACGAUGCGUAGCCGACCUGAGAGGAGGAGAGGACACGAGGGAGCUGAGCCAGGGUGCGGAGAAGGCCGGGGGGCAGCAGUAGGGGAUAGUAGAGAAUGGUCGAAAACCUGAAGGCUCAGUACCGAGUGAAGAAAAAAGGUGUUAGGAACUUAGCACUCUGUGACGAUAACAAAACAAAACGGCACGUAAAACUGCACGGCGGGACGGUAACUAAUAAGAAAGCGACCGCUAUCUUGGUA